UACGGGAGGCAGCAGUGGGGAAUAUUGCACAAUGGGCGCAAGCCUGAUGCAGCCAUGCCGCGUGUAUGAAGAAGGCCUUCGGGUUGUAAAGUACUUUCAGUCGUGAGGAAGGUGUUAAGGUUAAUAACCUUAGCAAUUGACGUUAGCGACAGAAGAAGCACCGGCUAACUCCGUGCCAGCAGCCGCGGUAAUACGGAGGGUGCGAGCGUUAAUCGGAAUUACUGGGCGUAAAGGGCACGCAGGCGGUUAAUUAAGUUGGAUGUGAAAUCCCCGGGCUUAACCUGGGAAUGGCAUUCAAGACUGGUUAGCUAGAGUCUUGUAGAGGGGGUUAGAAUUCCAUGUGUAGCGGUGAAAUGCGUAGAGAUGUGGAGGAAUACCGGUGGCGAAGGCGGCCCCUGGGACAAAGACUGACGCUCAUGUGCGAAAGCGUGGGGAGCAAAC
rnacentral:rRNA from 1 species